GAUUUAUUCUAUUUGUUUCUUAAGUUACGUUUAAAAAACGAAUCAACUAAUUUUCAUUACCUACAGUGUAAUAAUAUAUAAUGACUUAAUGUGAUCACUUCGGUGGUUUGUGAGUAGGUAGGUAUAGUCAUUAUACCUAAGUUCCAACAGAUAUUUUUUUUUCGUUGAAAUAAUCAAAAGUAAUGUUGUAUUAUAGAAAAUAUAAUAAUAGCUAGAAAAACGUGACAUGUAGUAUUAGAUUAAAUACUAGACAGUAAUUUUCAAAGUAAAAUUAAUGAGUAAAUCACACAGAUAUAGAAAAUAAACUAGAUAGCUAACUAGUGAUGAUAUAUGUUGUGAAGUUAUUAUCAGUCAUUUCGAGUUGGUCAAAUGCAUGGUAAAAUCCCACCAAAAUUUCAAUUCUUGUUGAAAAUAUUUGAAAUGUAAUUUUUUUUGUCAUUGGUAUUUAUUUUUGUCACAACUCACAAUAAAUUAUGAUAGUGUAUCUUCAAAAAUCCAAUUUUUAAUAUAAUAUUUAUUAAAUAUACAAAUCUUUAAAUGUAUGAUUUAAAAUUUUAAACAAUCAAGAAAUUACUUGUUACUUUAUUAAGUUAAGAUGCUAUUGAGUUGUUUUUUGAUCAUGCAAGAAGACGUUUUGGACAUAAUGAUAAUCCUGUCUACAGUUAAGGUAGGUAUGCUUUAACUGUUUUAAGAAGUACUUUACUGCAUAUUUCAAUCAAACAAUCAACGACAAUUGUUUGUUAUUGACUUCUCGUGAAGAUUCUUUGUUUUCAUUAAAACAGAAGUUAAAAAAAAAAUGAAAAUGAACUAGAAAAUGAGGAACAGCAGGAUAUGUAAUAAAAGAAAUAUUACCAGUAUUUACUUGUGAAAAAUGCAUUAAAGCUGUGAUAGAUGAUUCAAAUGUGCAUGAUCAUACAUACUGUACUAUAGAGAAUGAAUCAUUCAAAACUCUCGCAAGGAUGAAGAACCAGAGGAGGCUUAGAAUCAGUAUCGGAAAGUGUUUUCAAUCAAAAUCACUGACAUACUUUCAGUCUGUAGUUUCUGAUAAACUGCAAUAAUUGUUUAAGAAUAUAGAUAGUAACAGACAUACAUUGCAAGACUGAAGACCUAAUAAAAUGAAAUUAAUCAACUUAAUUUUACACAAAUAUAUUUAAAUAUAAGAUUACACUCUUAUAGCAAAAUAUUAACUUAUUCAAUAAUAAAGGUGGCUGGCAAAA